GACCCAACUUUUCGAGCUCUCUCUCUCUCUCUCUCUCUAAAUCUCAGAACGAUUUCGAAGCUCCACCACUGUCUCUCUUUCUCUCUCUAAAUCUCUCUCUCAACUCUCUCUAAACCCUUAUCAGAGCCAUUCAGAGAUUCAUCUCAGUGAUUUCAUCACAAAGAUUCAGAGCGAUUUCAUCUCAGUGAUUUCAUCGCAGAGAUUCAGAGAUUCAGAUCGGUCUCCACCAUCUGCACCAUCGUCUACAUCAUCAUCUACACCAUCGUCUCCUAAGUUAGCCCCAAUCCAAGAUUGAUCCAUAUGAGGUUAGGGCCCGUGCUAAACAGGUUGUGCAAGAUCAGCGCCGUCUGAAGGUCACUAUGUUGUAAUAUGUGGCUAUGAUGCUAUGACAGAUGAGUUUGAGAUUAGAGAUCCAGCGAGCUCUGGGAAACAUGAGAAGGUCACAUCAAAGCGCCUAGAAGAAGCUCGCAAAUCCUUUGGAAUUGAUGAAGAUCUUCUCUUGAUAUCUUUGGAGAAGGGAGAGAAUCAGAACACCCAUUCGGUACAGCUCUCUUCGCUCGUCACUUUUGAUAGAUGACAUUCUUGUAUUUUGUUUACUCGUUCAUCCAUUCAUUACAUAUAUAUAUAUCAUUAUUUGUCGAUGUAUAAUUUGCGCCUGUAGCCAAUUUUAGUGUGAACUUAUAGGAUAAUAAUCCCUGUAUUUAGGUGUCCAUGUAUGUCUUAGUUCAAAUUAUUCAACUUAAAUAAUAAUCGUAUCUUUUUCUUUGGUGUCAAGAAGAACAUGAUUGGUUCUAGUGGAUUAGAUGAUGAUAUACAGAACAAUCAUAAGGGGCUCCCAUAAACU